ACACCGAUAUUACUCAGUAAUAGGAAGGAGACAAAUUUUAGACACUGGCCUCUUUAUAACACCAUUUUUAAUCUUUAAACUAACAACUCUAACAAUAUUGUCGUUACCGGGGUGGACUUCAAUCACCCUGCCAUAAAGCCAACGACCGGCAGCCAAGCUGUCCUCUUUUACAACAACGACAUCACCAACCUUAGGUUGACGAUUUUGCGUAGACCACCGAUAACGUUGAUAAAAACGUUGCAAGUAUUGGGUCGACCACUGACGCCAGAAAUCUUGGAGCAUUCUCUGCGCAUAUUGCCAUCUGCGCAAAGUGCUUACGUUCGAGGAUUCGUAACUCCUUUCAGGUGGUGAAACAAGUGCUUCACCCACGAGGAAAUGUCCAGGCGUCAAAACAUUAAAUCCGUCAUCAUCAUUACAAGUGAUGGUUGAUAGAGGUCGAGAAUUGAGACACGCCUCUAUUUGGACCAGCACUGUUGUCAUCUCCUCAAAAGUGAGUGUAGAAUUCCCAAUUACUCUCUUCAGAUGGUAUUUAACGGAUUUGACACCUGACUCCCAAAGGCCACCAAAGUUGGGAGAGCGAGAUGGUAUGAAAUGCCAAGUGCAUCCGUUGGUUGCCAAACUCUCGGCUAUCUCCUGCAUCAUUGAGCUUUUCUCCAAUGUAAAUAACCUUUUCAAUUCACUCGCUGCUCCAACAAAAUUUGUGGCGUUGUCGCUCCAAAUAUCUGUGCACAAUCCUCGUCUACCCACGAAUCUCUUGAAAACUUGUAAAAAACCUUCCGAAGUAAGCUCGGACACCACAUCUAAAUGUAUGGCACGCGUGACCAUACACACAAAUAUACAAAUAUAUCCCUUGUAUGACUUGUGCCCGCGGCCUUUAGCCGUUCUGAGUUGAAUGGGACCGGCGUAAUCCACUCCGCAAGAUUUAAAGGGACGAGUGGGAGUGACCCUCGCUGCAGGCAACUGUCCCAUCAAUUGCGUUUGAACAUUACCAGUAUGCUUUGCACAAGUCACACAUUUCCUAAAAACUGACUUUACCAUUGGUUUUAAUCCUAAGAUCCAAUACCGAGAUUGCAAAUAACACAUCAUUAGUUGUGGACCGCCGUGAAGAGUUUGCGUAUGCGCAUCCAGUAUGACGAGAUUGGUUAGGAAAGACUUUCUAGGCAUCAGAAUAGGAUGUUUUCGACGUUCAUCAAACUGCGAAUUUUCAAGCCUCCCGCCAACUCGCAAUAUAUUGUUCUCAUCAAGAAAAGGAUUCAAGGACUGAAGAUGACUGCGUUUAGGUAAGUUUUCAUUUUUCUUUAAUAUGUCGAUCUCAACACCAAAGUUUUCACGUUGGCAUGCAACUAUACAACAAUUCAUAGCUUCUUGCAUUUCUCUAGCUGUUAAGUAUCCAUCACGUUUAUCAACGAUGCUCCUUUUACAAUUGUUUAAAAACCGUUUGCAAUAAGCUACUACCCUUAUUAACUUAGUUAAUGUUGAAAACCUUUCCCACUGAAAUGUCUCUACCGUAGUGCAGCAAGCUUUGAUUUUAGCCAUUUCCAAAUUGGUUUCAAUGUCUUUAGGCUUCUGAUAUUCAAUAUCCUUUUUGUGCAAAAACUCUGGACCUUGAAACCACAUGUUAUUUUUCACUAGGUCUGAUGGCUGUAACCCUCGGGACGCUGCAUCUGCUGGAUUACAUUUCGUCGAUACGUGUGACCAAUGAUGGGAAUCGAGAUUGGUUACAAUUUCAGACACCCGGUUCGCUACAAAAACUUUCCAACGAUUCGGCAAACUAUUGAUCCAGGCCAGCACCACCGUCGAAUCCGUCCAAGCAUGCACGUAAGUUUUUUCAAUGUUCAUUACAGAUGCCACUUCCAACAAUAACCUGCAUAAUAACACAGCCCCACACAACUCUAAUCGUGGUAUAGAAACUUGCUUCACAGGUGCUACCUUUGUUUUUGCAGAAAGCAGCGUCACUGUAAUAUUUCCUUCAGUGUCAACAACGCGAGCAUAUACAACAGCUGCAUAUGCUUCUUUGGAGGCGUCGCAGAACCCAUGCAGCUCUACCAAGUCACCAGUCUUAACACCAGUCCAACGUGGUAUAGUAAUGUCUCGUAAGUGAACUAAUUCUUCACGAUAAAUUAACCAUUCCCUUACUAACUCAUUUGGCGCUUCUUCGUCCCAAUCAAUACCUGCUAGCCAAAGCUUCUGAAUCAUCAUCUUUGCCUUUAUAAUACACGGCCCCGCCCAUCCCAAGGGGUCGUAAAAUCUAGAUAUGUCUGAAAUAAUUUUUCUCUUUGUUGCAGGUUCUUCGAAUGCCGGUACAUCAACCUUGUAGCGGAACACAUCCUUACUACGGCUCCAGAUCGCCGUUCUUCAGUCUUCGUUCUAAUGAAUAAAACCUUUUUUCAGCUAUUUGCAGAGAAUUCGUCACAUCAGGACCCUCAUUUUUUACCGGAAGUCGCACAAUAUACCGACCAGACUCAUCCCUACGAGUAGUGUUGAGGGCUUCGCGGGCGAAUUCACGACCCCAGACAAAAUCCACCCCAAUGACGAGCACUGAGCAAGUGGUGAACCAAGUGGUCCCUUUAUGACUCCAUUUUGGAUUAUCCGGCUAUAUACUUCUGAACCUAACAAUAAGUCGACACUAUUGGAAGUAUAGUAGCUCGGAUCCGCGAGAACAAUGUCCUCAAGUUCCUUCCAUUCCUCCACUGUUAUCUUGUGAGUAGGUAAAAGUGAAGUAAUGGACCCCAACACAUAAGCUUUCACCGUAAUAAAAAAGGUUGGAUCAAUUCGUGAUGAUAUUUUAAUUUCCACUAUAGACCUCGUCGUAAGCCCGUUCGUGCCACCUACUCCUAUGAUCUGCCCUUUAACUGGUAUCUUUUUCAACCCCAACAAUUGAACCAUCGCCUCAGUAAUAAAGGACGAUUGGGACCCCUGAUCCAGUAAAGCACGAAUCGUGUAGGUUUGGCCGUAUUUAGAGACAGUAUUUACAAGUGCCGUUGCUAACAAAACCUGGCUGUAAUUAACAUUAUCUCUUGUAGAUGUACAAGAAAUAAAGGCAUCAACUUCCUUAUUAUCAUCAGCCUGAACCUCCCUAGCUUGGGUUUCCUGAGCGGCACUCUUGGUUGAAGGAUGCAGGAGAGCAUGGUGCCUUCUCUUGCAUAUACGACACUUGUAAUUGCUGUGGCAAAAUUUGGCAGAGUGAUUGUUCCCGAGACAACAAUAACAAACAUUGUUGGAUGCCACAAAUUCGCGUCGAACUUCCACUGAACUAUCUAUAAAACCCUUACACGUGCUCAAUUUGUGUUCUUCCUUACAAAAGGGGCAGGCUAACGUCGCAACGUGCAUAGUUUUCGUUCUAUUGAUAGGCAAGCUUUUAUUCGGAAUCGGUUUGGACUCUGAGCUCAAAAAUUCAAGGGCGCGGUAUCGGUUCUUAAGAAAUU